rnacentral:rRNA from 1 species
UACGUAGGUGGCGAGCGUUGUCCGGAUUUAUUGGGCGUAAAGCGCGCGUAGGCGGCUUUGCAAGUCGGGUGUGAAAUCCCCAGGCUUAACCUGGGAACUGCAUUCGAGACUGCAUUGCUAGAGUAUGGGAGAGGGAAGUGGAAUUUCCUGUGUAGCGGUGAAAUGCGUAGAUAUCGGAAGGAACAUCAGUGGCGAAAGCGACUUCCUGGACCAAUACUGACGCUCAUGUGCGAAAGCGUGGGGAGCAAACAGG